CGGAGCAGCAAAGGAACAGCGCCGGGUCUCAUCGGAUCUUACCCUGUGCUUCCAGAAGGGGGAGGCCGCCUCGGUAGCUCUCUAUAGGCAGCGCCCUGCUCCUCGGCUUGGCCGUCUCCCGCGCUCUGUCACUUGUGGGCUAACAGAUACCUGUCCCAGAGUGGGCCUGACCUUGCCCGUGAGACCAGCUUCACCAGCUCUCUGAGAGCCUCCCUGAAAUGUACCACCAUUUCUUUCCAUGGCUGUGUUCAUUUUCUCCAAGACCAAUGGAGUAGAAGAUUCAGGAGGCUUUCCAUCUUAGAUUACAGGCAACAAAAGAAAUUGGAUGGAUGCUCUCCUGGGGCUUCUUCCAACUCUAGUAUUUUAUGACUACACAACCACUAAUCUCAAUACUGAUGUCCUUAUUUACAAAGAGAAUGCCGCUGAUAUACCUCAG